UCUUGCCUAAGACCAAUAUAUAUAUAGCUCUCUAUUCUGAGUCUCUGACAAAGAUGUAUGGCAGUAUGAUAUACCUUGAAUUCUAAAAAUUGACCAGUCAUGUGCUUUUUAAGUUCAGGAACUGGGAUUCCCAAAUCAGCAACACUAUUUAGAGAAAUACUUCGCAUCAGCCACUAUUUAGCUUCAGCCGAAGCACACCUUGCGUGGUAAAGGUGAAUUUCCCCUUUUCUCCCUGUUACGCAUUCCGGUUCCCUCUCUCUGAUUUUCACUUCAUUUGAAAUUCCCCCAAUCCUCUCCCCCACCCCCACCCUCGCCUUCGCCCAUCUUCUAAGCCACCCCCGCAUCGCCCAUUCUCUCCCUCAUCCCCUGCCCUAUUUUUCCCGUCGCCAUUGAACCUCCCUCUACCCAUCACCCCUGUUACCUAGAUCUGAAGCUCUGCCCCCUCUGCCCAUCCUCCAAUUGCGCUGUUUGAAAAUGCUUGUUUCUGCUGAAGAGAUUUGUGGCCCUAAGCUCUAAAUUCAAACACUCAAUGCCUUGAUCCAUGCGGUGUCCUUUCGCUGCUUGUUAUUCUUUGUUCUUUGACCUCUACCUCUCACUGGUUUUUCCUUUCCUUGCAUUUCUGUCUCUUAACAAUGAUUUGAUUCGAUUCAAAAAUGUUUUUUAUCUAUUUAAAGCUGGGUUUGGCUGUUGUGAAAAUGUUUUUUAUUUAUUUACAGCUGGGUUUGCUUGUUAUCCUGCAUGAUUAUUCAGAAUAAUAAAAAAUAUGUUUAUUACCUCUACAGGAUUUUCCAAUUGAUCCGACCGGUGAACUUGAGACUUGAGAGCCUUCUGAAGACAUUAUUGACAUCUGUAAAUGGGUUGGUAUUGCUGUGGUUGUCAUUCAGAUAUGGUAUUAUUCUCAUUAUAAGGAUGAAAUUAAUCAACAUGUCUUUAAUUGCUUGAAACAGAUUGAAAAGUCCCAGAUGAACUAGGAAGUUGUUAACUUAUCAACAUAAUUUGAUGGCCAUAAGGAGAAUCUUGUAUAGUUUUUAUUUUUUAUUUUUUUAAUAAGUAUCUUGUAUAGUUUGAUGGUAUACGUAUCAGAAUGCUGGAGUUCUUCCUCAACAUGUUUAUGUUUUGUGAAACUUUCCAUUGAACUAUGAAAUUAUUACUUGUCAAUAAAAUUUGAUGGUCCAAUGGACGUAGAGCCCUCGUAUAAAAUUUAAGGAGUUCCAUGGCCAUCAUUUUACUCUUCAUGUAGAUAUUUUAAUGGAUCAAAUUUAUAGUUGAAGUUUCAAAUGAAUUCGCACUUCAUACAUUAAUUUAGAGGAAUGAGAGAGUUUUCUAUUUCUUAAAGAGCAUGAGAAUCAUAGGGUGUGUUUGGUUAAGAGAAAUAUUGAGAUGCUUGGCCAUUUUUUAGAAUGUUUUUAUCUGUAUUAGUAUUGUACCCACCAGCCCUAUAGAUAUGGCAGUUGCUCUGGAAUGCAUUGUUGGGGAGCACCACCUUUUUCUUUCCAUCAUCAUUGUUCUCUAAAGCAAUCCAUUAAUCCAACAAAACAUUGAGCACUUGAUUUUCAAGACAGAGAAAAAAAAAUGCAAUAAAAUGUCUGUGUAAUAGGUGAAAAUGCAGAGGAUGUUGGGGAAGAUCAUAGCACAUUUUUUCUUACAUUUAAUGGGGAUUUGAACUACUUCAAAAACUCUUUUAUUUCUAGCUUUGUACGUUUCUUAUAGAAUAGUCAACAUGUAUCUUUCUUUUCUUUUUCUUUUUUCAUCUUUCCCUUUUAUCCCACUUUGUCUGUGCAGGAUCUUAUCAUUUACCUCUUGGGAAUGUAAGUAAUCUGUCGUUCACAUUUGGUUGACUAAUGUCAUCAAACUUUCUGGUUCAUUGAAAAUAAAUAAAUAAACAAAGAACUGAGAAAUCUCAAUUUGAUGACUUUAUAUAUGCAGGAGUACGAAUAUAUUUAAUCAAAGAGAAUCGCUUACUUAUUCGUCUGACUCUCAGCCUCAUCAAUUUACAAUACUAGUAUGCAGUAUCCCAUUCCCAUCUGGAGGCACCUGCAGUGAAACUGUCGAGUUAUUCAAAUUAAUGUAUUUCCUUCCAUUCAUUUAUGUAGAGUUAUUUAGACUAAUGUCUUUGUGAAGUAAGAAGUCUGUUAUGUGCUCCUACCAUUGUAUUUUGGAAUUUAAUGAAAUGAGGUGCUGCUUGGAACAGUACAUCUCCUUUUUAUCA